GACGAACGCUGGCGGCGUGCUUAACACAUGCAAGUCGAACGAUGAAGAAGAGAAACGCGAACUUCGGUUCAAAUUUCACUUCGGAUUAGUGGCAGACGGGUGAGUAACGCGUGAGCAACCUACCUCUUACAAAGGGAUAGCCUCGGGAAACCGUGAUUAAUACCAUAUGACACAUUCAUAAGGCAUCUCAAGAAUGUUAAAGCUACGGCGGUAAGAGAUGGGCUCGCGUCCCAUUAGCUAGUUGGUGAGGUAACGGCCCACCAAGGCGACGAUGGGUAACCGGCCUGAGAGGGUGAACGGUCACAUUGGAACUGAGACACGGUCCAAACUCCUACGGGAGGCAGCAGUGGGGAAUAUUGCACAAUGGAGGGAACUCUGAUGCAGCGACGCCGCGUGAGCGAUGAAGGAAUUCGUUUCGUAAAGCUCUGUUCUAUGGGAAGAAAAGGACUGUACCAUAGGAGAAAGCCCCGGCUAAAUACGUG
rnacentral:rRNA from 1 species